GUGAUUGUCUAUCAUAACUUGGAUGGUAAUAAAAUAAAGUAAAAAAAUUUAAAAAGAAAAAUAAUAGAUACUACAAUCAGAUGAUUGACAAGUAUGUAAGGAAGUUUCCACUUGUAUAACAUCAUGCUAGCUAUUAUGACAAAUGCAGGGAUAAAACAGACUCUUAUAGCCUGCUAGAGGAGAUACCAUUUACAUUCAUGAAAAAUGACUGUGUUUAACCUAUUGUAGUUGUAAUUACAUAUCUGUGUGGUUACAGCAGUAGAAAAGGAGUUCGAGAUAGGAGUGAAUACUGUGACCUGAGGUUAUCAUUUCAUCUUUACAAUAUGCUUAGCACUAUGUAAGAAAUUGGAAAUACAAGAAGACAGAGUUCUUAUUCUCAAGAAACUCAGAAUCUCCUGAACCAAGGUUUAGUGAAUAAUAAACUUUCAAAUUUCCUUCCUUCACAACAACUGACCAUGACUAACUCUUUGUGAAAGAACUCUGAACACUAUAAGGACAUUUGAACUUCUAAAUUUGCUGAAUGGUUGAGUAGAUAUAAACAGGAAAACCUUGAUCUUGACACACAAAUUGACUACUGAAAGCAGGAUGAAGAAAGAGGAAGAAA
rnacentral:lncRNA from 1 species